rnacentral:rRNA from 1 species
UACGUAGGGGGCAAGCGUUGUCCGGAAUCAUUGGCGUAAAGCGCGUGUAGGCGGCCCGAUAAGUCCGCUGUGAAAGUCCAGGGCUCAACCCUGGGAUGCCGGUGGAUACUGUCGGGCUCGAGUCCGGAAGAGGAGUGUGGAAUUCCUGGUGUAGCGGUGAAAUGCGCAGAUAUCAGGAGGAACACCAAUGGCGAAGGCAGCGACUCUGGGGACGUGACUGGACGCUGAGACGCGAAAGCGUGGGGAGCAAACAGG